AGCAGUGUAGCGUAGUGGUAAGGUGCAGGGCUCGUAACCGAAAGGUUACCGUUUCGAUUUCUCUGCUG